rnacentral:misc_RNA from 1 species
AACGCACGAGACCUGCGGACCUGCGGAAGGAUCAUUACAAAUCUUUUGCAAAUGCUGCGUGCCUAAGUGUGCGUAGCAUUUACAACAUUAGCACAAGGUCGCAAGGCCUUGAUGUUUACGCUUGUUUGUUUGACAGAGUUAGUUGAGACAAUAAAAAGACAACUUUCAACAACGGAUCUCU